ensembl:snRNA U6 U6 spliceosomal RNA
GUGCUUGCUUCGGCAGCAUCUGUGCUAAAAUUGGAAUGACACAGAGAUUAGCAUGGCCCCUGUGCAAGGAUGACACACAAAUUUGUGACACAUUCUAUAUUUUG